CGCUGUUCGCUCCUGUUCCGCCCAGUGUCGCCGGCCAAGGCGGCCGCUCCGGGACGAGAAGCGGCUGGGAGGGAGCGGAGCAGGCUGCAGAAAUAAGAAAAAAGUUCCAUCACUUGCAAGAGUGGCACAGCUGAUACACAGGCAGACAAAGGGAUGGACGGCUGAGGGAAUGAAACAGAAUUAAAGCUUGAAGCUGAGCUGUGUGUGUAUCAUUCAGAUCAUUGCAUCUCAAAUUGUAUUGCCAUUACAGAAACAGCCACAAAACAAUCAAGUUCAGCAAGACAGCCCCACAUAGCAAUUGUUACAAUGACAGACUGCUAUUUCUCCUUAUCUGCUCUUGCUGC